AAGUCGUAACAGGGUCUCGUUGGUGACCAGCGGAGGGAUCAUUACCGAGUUUACAACUCCCAAACCCCUGUGAACAUACCACUUGUUGCCUCGGCGGAUCAGCCCGCUCCCGGUAAAACGGGACGGCCCGCCAGAGGACCCCUAAACUCUGUUUCUAUAUGUAACUUCUGAGUAAAACCAUAAAUAAAUCAAAACUUUCAACAACGGAUCUCUUGGUUCUG
rnacentral:misc_RNA from 1 species